rnacentral:rRNA from 1 species
CAGCCGUAAACUAUGCGCGUUAGGUGUAUCGGUGACCACGAGUUACCGAGGUGCCGAAGGGAAACCGUGAAACGUGCCGCCUGGGAAGUACGGUCGCAAGGCUGAAACUUAAAGGAAUUGGCGGGGGGAGCACCACAACGGGUGGAGCCUGCGGUUUAAUUGGACUCAACGCCGGACAACUCACCGGGAACGACAGCAAUAUGUAGGCCAGGCUGAAGACCUUGCCUGAAUCGCUGAGAGGAGGUGCAUGGCGUAGACGUCU